rnacentral:rRNA from 1 species
UACGGAGGGGGCUAGCGUUGUCCGAAGUUACUGGGCGUAAAGCGCGCGUAGGCGGGUUGGUAAGUCCGCUGUGAAAACUCGAGGCUCAACCUCGAGACGUCGGUUGAAACCGUAUGGCUAGAGUCCGGAAGAGGAGAGUGGAAUUCCCGGUGUAGCGGUGAAAUGCGCAGAUAUCGGGAAGAACACCCGUGGCGAAGGCGGCUCUCUGGGACGGUACUGACGCUGAGACGCGAAAGCGUGGGGAGCGAACAGG